GGGGAAUCUUGCACAAUGGGGGCAACCCUGAUGCAGCGACGCCGCGUGAGCGAUGAAGCCCUUCGGGGCGUAAAGCUCUUUCGACCGGAACGAUAAUGACGGUACCGGGAGAAGAAGCUCCGGCUAACUACGUGCCAGCAGCCGCGGUAAUACGUAGGGAGCAAGCGUUGUUCGGAUUUACUGGGCGUAAAGGGCGCGUAGGCGGCGCGGUAAGUCACUUGUGAAAUCUCUGAGCUUAACUCAGAACGGCCAAGUGAUACUGCUGUGCUAGAGUGCGGAAGAGGCAACCGGAAUUCUUGGUGUAGCGGUGAAAUGCGUAGAUAUCAAGAGGAACACCUGAGGCGAAGGCGGGUUGCUGGGCCGACACUGACGCUGAUGCGCGAAAGCGUGGGUAGCAAACA
rnacentral:rRNA from 1 species